rnacentral:rRNA from 1 species
UACGGAGGUGCAAACGUUGGCUCGGAAUUAUUGGGCGUAAAGCGCACGUAGGCGGCCGACUAAGUCGGGUGUGAAAGCCCUGGGCUCAACCCGGGAACUGCGUCCGAUACUGACAGGCUUGAAUCCGGGAGAGGGAUGCGGAAUUCCAGUGUAGCGGUGAAAUGCGUAGAUAUCUGGAGGAACACCGGUGGCGAAGGCGGCAUCCUGGACCGGCAUUGACGCUGAGGCGCGAAAGCCAGGGGAGCAA